rnacentral:rRNA from 1 species
GCUGGCGGCGUGCUUAACACAUGCAAGUCGAACGAUGAAGCCCAGCUUGCUGGGUGGAUUAGUGGCGAACGGGUGAGUAACACGUGGGUGAUCUGCCCUGCACUCUGGGAUAAGCCUGGGAAACUGGGUCUAAUACCGGAUAUGACCUCGGGAUGCAUGUUCUGGGGUGGAAAGUUUUUCGGUGCAGGAUGAGCCCGCGGCCUAUCAGCUUGUUGGUGGGGUAAUGGCUACCAAGGCGACGACGGGUAGCCGGCCUGAGAGGGCGACCGGCCACACUGGGACUGAGACACGGNNCAGACUCCUACGGGAGGCAGCAGUGGGGAUAUUGCACAUGGGCGCAAGCCUAUGCAGCGACGCGCGUGAGGGAUGACGCUUCGGGGUGUAAACUCUUUCACCCAUGCGAGCCGCAAGUUACGGUAGUUGGAGAAGAAGCACCGGCCAACUACGGUCCCACAGCCGGGGUAAUACGUAGGGUCCGAGCGUUUCCGAAUUACUGGGCGUAAAGAGCUCGUAGGCGGUUUGUCGCGUCGUCUGUGAAAUCCCGCAGCUCAACUGCGGGCUUGCAGGCGAUACGGGCAGACUCGAGUACUGCAGGGGAGACUGGAAUUCCUGGUGUAGCGGUGAAAUGCGCAGAUAUCAGGAGGAACACCGGUGGCGAAGGCGGGUCUCUGGGCAGUAACUGACGCUGAGGAGCGAAAGCGUGGGUAGCGAACAGGAUUAGAUACCCUGGUAGUCCACGCCGUAAACGGUGGGCGCUAGGUGUGGGUUUCCUUCCACGGGAUACGUGCCGUAGCCAACGCAUUAAGCGCCCCGCCUGGGGAGUACGGCCGCAAGGCUAAAACUCAAAGGAAUUGACGGGGCCCCGCACAAGCGGCGGAGCAUGUGGAUUAAUUCGAUGCAACGCGAAGAACCUUACCUGGGUUUGACAUGUACCGGACGACUGCAGAGAU